CCCCUCUCAGGUUUGCAGCUGGAGAGUUUCCAGUACUCUACCAGUCUUGGCUAUGGGAGGGAGAAUCAAGCAGAGGCAUACCCAUUCCAUUCCUAGCUUGGGCAGUAGCUAGCGAGCAGAAGGCGAUCUGCUACAAGU
rnacentral:snoRNA from 1 species